UAGGGAAUAUUCCACAAUGAGCGAAAGCUUGAUGGAGCGACACAGCGUGCACGAUGAAGGUCUUCGGAUUGUAAAGUGCUGUUAUAAGGGAAGAACAUUUGCAAUAGGAAAUGAUUGCAGACUGACGGUACCUUGUCAGAAAGCGAUGGCUAACUAUGUGCCAGCAGCCGCGGUAAUACAUAGGUCGCAAGCGUUAUCCGGAAUUAUUGGGCAUAAAGCGUUCGUAGGCUGUUUGUUAAGUCUGGAGUUAAAUCCCGGGGCUCAACCCCGGCUCGCUUUGGAUACUAGCAAACUAGAGUUAGAUAGAGGUAAGUGGAAUUCCAUGUGAAGCGGUGAAAUGCGUAGAUAUAUGGAAGAACACCAAAGGCGAAGGCAGCUUACUGGGUCUAUACUGACGCUGAGGGACGAAAGCGUGGGGAGCAAACAGG
rnacentral:rRNA from 1 species